rnacentral:tRNA from 1 species
UCCCUGGUGGCUUACAGGGUAAACGUCUGCCUGCAAUGCAGGAGACCCAGGUUCAAUCCCUGGGUCGGGAA